GCUCUCCUUGUGUCAUCUCCACAUUCUUCACAUACCAAUAGAAACAAUAGAGAAGGGUUGGAAUUAUACAUAUAUACAACUUUCAGCAACGGAUCUCUUGGCUCUCGCAUCGAUGAAGAACGCAGCGAAAUGCGAUAAGUAAUGUGAAUUGCAGAAUUCAGUGAAUCAUCGAAUCUUUGAACGCAUCUUGCGCUCCUUGGUAUUCCGAGGAGCAUGCCUGUUUGAGUGUCAUUAAUAUCUCAACCACGCGCGAAAGCGUGUGGCUUGGACUUGGGGGAUGAUGCAGGCUCGGACUCGGUCGGUCGGUCUGCUCCCCUGAAAUACAUGAGCGAAAUAAAAGGCCUCUUUGUUGGGUGUGAUAACUCUAUCUGCAUCCGAGGGUCGUUUACGUUUGCCAGAUUGGAUUGGAUUGGAUUUCAUUUGACUUGACCUCAAAUCAGGUAGGACCACCCGCUGAACUUAAGCAUAUCAAUAAGCGGAGGAAAAGAAACUAACCAGGAUUCCCUUAGUAACUGCGAGUGAACCGGGAAGAGCUCAAAUUUGUAAUCUGGCGGUCAUUCGAUCGUCCGAGUUGUAAUCUAGAGAAGUGUUACCUGCUCUGGACCGUGUACAAGUCUCCUGGAAUGGAGCAUCACAGAGGGUGAGAAUCCCGUCUUUGACAUGGACUGCCAGAGCUUAAUAGGUGUGCUCUCGAAGAGUCGAGUUGUUUGGGAAUGCAGCUCAAAAUGGGUGGUAAAUGCCAUCUAAAGCUAAAUAUUGGCGAGAGACCGAUAGCGAACAAGUACCGUGAGGGAAAGAUGAAAAGAACUUUGGAAAGAGAGUUAAACAGUACGUGAAAUUGCUGAAAGGGAAACGCUUGAAGUCAGUCGCGUCGGUCGGAAAUCAACCUUGCUUCUGCUGGGCGUACUUUCCGUCCGACGGGUCAGCGUCAGUUUCGGUCGCUGGAUAAAGUUCUCGGGAAUGUGGCAUCCUCGGAUGUGUUAUAGCCCUUUGACAUACGCAGCGGCCGGGAUUGAGGAAUUCAGCACGCCCUCCGGGGCUGGGGACUCGUCCCACAAUCUGGGUGCUUAGGAUGCUGGCGUAAUGGCUUUAAUCGACCCGUCUUGAAACACGGACCAAGGAGUCUAACAUGCCUGCGAGUGUUUGGGUGGAAAACCCAUGCGCGCAAUGAAAGUGAAGGUUGAGAUCCCUGUCAUGGGGAGCAUCGACGCCCAGACCAGACCUUCUUGUGACGGAUCUGCGGUAGAGCAUGCAUGUUGGGACCCGAAAGAUGGUGAACUAUGCCUGAAUAGGGUGAAGCCAGAGGAAACUCUGGUGGAGGCUCGUAGCGAUUCUGACGUGCAAAUCGAUCGUCAAAUUUGGGUAUAGGGGCGAAAGACUAAUCGAACCAUCUAGUAGCUGGUUCCUGCCGAAGUUUCCCUCAGGAUAGCAGAAGCUCGUAUCAGAUUUAUGUGGUAAAGCGAAUGAUUAGAGGCCUUGGGGUUGAAACAACCUUAACCUAUUCUCAAACUUUAAAUAUGUAAGAACAGGCUGUCUCUUGAUUGGACUGCCUGGCGAUUGAGAGUUUCUAGUGGGCCAUUUUUGGUAAGCAGAACUGGCGAUGCGGGAUGAACCGAACGCGAGGUUAAGGUGCCGGAAUUCACGCUCAUCAGACACCACAAAAGGUGUUAGUUCAUCUAGACAGCAGGACGGUGGCCAUGGAAGUCGGAAUCCGCUAAGGAGUGUGUAACAACUCACCUGCCGAAUGAACUAGCCCUGAAAAUGGAUGGCGCUUAAGCGUGAUACCCAUACCUCGCCGUCAGUGUUGAAGUGACGCGCU
rnacentral:rRNA from 1 species